GUGCUCGCUUCAGCAGUACAUACAGUAAAAUUGGAAUGAUACAGAGAAGAUUAGCGUGGCCUCUGCGCAAGGCUGAUGCAAAAAUUUGUGAAGUGUUCCAUAUUUUU
ensembl:snRNA U6 U6 spliceosomal RNA